rnacentral:rRNA from 1 species
GACGAACGCUGGCGGCGUGCUUAACACAUGCAAGUCGAACGGAAAGGCCCUGCUUGCAGGGUACUCGAGUGGCGAACGGGUGAGUAACACGUGGGUGAUCUGCCCUGCACUUCGGGAUAAGCCUGGGAAACUGGGUCUAAUACCGGAUAGGAGCCAUUUUUAGUGUGAUGGUUGGAAAGUUUUUUCGGUGUAGGAUGAGCUCGCGGCCUAUCAGCUUGUUGGUGGGGUAAUGGCCUACCAAGGCGGCGACGGGUAGCCGGCCUGAGAGGGUGGACGGCCACAUUGGGACUGAGAUACGGCCCAGACUCCUACGGGAGGCAGCAGUGGGGAAUAUUGCACAAUGGGCGCAAGCCUGAUGCAGCGACGCCGCGUGGGGGAUGACGGCCUUCGGGUUGUAAACUCCUUUCGCUAGGGACGAAGCUUUUUGUGACGGUACCUAGAUAAGAAGCACCGGCUAACUACGUGCCAGCAGCCGCGGUAAUACGGAAGGUCCGGGCGUUAUCCGGAUUUAUUGGGUUUAAAGGGAGCGUAGGCCGGAGAUUAAGUGUGUUGUGAAAUGUAGACGCUCAACGUCUGACUUGCAGCGCAUACUGGUUUCCUUGAGUACGCACAACGUUGGCGGAAUUCGUCGUGUAGCGGUGAAAUGCUUAGAUAUGACGAAGAACUCCGAUUGCGAAGGCAGCUGACGGGAGCGCAACUGACGCUUAAGCUCGAAAGGUGCGGGUAUCGAACAGGAUUAGAUACCCUGGUAGUCCAUGCCGUAAACGGUGGGCGCUAGGUGUGAGGGUCUUUUCACGACUUUCGUGGCCGUAGGUAACGCAUUAAGCGCCCCGCUUGGGGAGUACGGCCGCAAGGGCUAAAACUCAAAGGAAUUGACGGGGGCCCGCCACAAGCGGCGGAGCAUGUGGAUUAAUUUGAUGCAACGCGAAGAACCUUACCUGGGCUUGACAUACACCGGAUCGGGCUAGAGAUAGUCUUUCCCUUUGUGGCUGGUGUACAGGUGGUGCAUGGUUGUCGUCAGCUCGUGUCGUGAGAUGUUGGGUUAAGUCCCGCAACGAGCGCAACCCUUGUCUUAUGUUGCCAGCAUUUGGUUGGGGACUCAUGAGAGACUCCCGGGGUCAACUCGGAGGAAGGUGGGGAUGACGUCAAAUCAUCAUGCCCCUUAUGUCCAGGGCUUCACACAUGCUACAAUGGUCGGUACAACGGGCAGCGACACUGUGAGGUGGAGCGAAUCGCUGAAAGCCGGCUCUUAGUUAGGAUUGGGGUCUGCAACUUGACCCCAUGAAGUCGGAGUCGCUUGUCCUCCCCACAUCAGCANCGCUCCCCUUGAGAGGUUCCUGGUCCU